rnacentral:rRNA from 2 species
CCAACGCUGGCGGCGUGCCUAAUACAUGCAAGUCGAACGCACUCUCGUUUAGAUUGAAGGAGCUUGCUCCUGAUUGAUAAACAUUUGAGUGAGUGGCGGACGGGUGAGUAACACGUGGGUAACCUGCCCUAAAGUGGGGGAUAACAUUUGGAAACAGAUGCUAAUACCGCAUAAAACCUAACACCGCAUGGUGUAGGGUUGAAAGAUGGUUUCGGCUAUCACUUUAGGAUGGACCCGCGGUGCAUUAGUUAGUUGGUGAGGUAAAGGCUCACCAAGACCGUGAUGCAUAGCCGAUCCUGAGAGGGUAAUCGGCCACA